GGAUACACACAGUUCAGUUUUG
rnacentral:miRNA from 1 species